GACGAACGCUGGCGGCGUGCUUAACACAUGCAAGUCGAACGGUGAAGCGCCUUCCUUUUUGGUGGGUGUGGAUGGGUGGCGAACGGGUGAGUAACACGUGAGUAACCUGCCCCCUUCUUCUGGAUAACCGCAUGAAAGUGUGGCUAAUACGGGAUAUUCUGGGUCUGUCGCAUGAUGGGUCUGGGAAAGAUAUUGUUUCGGUGGGGGAUGGGCUCGCGGCCUAUCAGCUUGUUGGUGGGGUGAUGGCCUACCAAGGCGGUGACGGGUAGCCGGCCUGAGAGGGUGGACGGUCACACUGGGACUGAGACACGGCCCAGACUCCUACGGGAGGCAGCAGUGGGGAAUAUUGCACAAUGGGCGCAAGCCUGAUGCAGCGACGCCGCGUGAGGGAUGGAGGCCUUCGGGUUGUGAACCUCUUUCGCCAGUGAAGCAGGCCUGCCUCGUUUGUGGGUGGGUUGACGGUAGCUGGAUAAGAAGCGCCGGCUAACUACG
rnacentral:rRNA from 1 species